ACGCUAAUACCGCAUACGUCCUACGGGAGAAAGCAGGGGAUCUUCGGACCUUGCGCUAUCGGAUGAGCCUAUGUCGGAUUAGCUAGUUGGUGAGGUAACGGCUCACCAAGGCGACGAUCCGUAGCUGGUCUGAGAGGAUGAUCAGCCACACUGGGACUGAGACACGGCCCAGACUCCUACGGGAGGCAGCAGUGGGGAAUAUUGGACAAUGGGGGAAACCCUGAUCCAGCCAUGCCGCGUGUGUGAAGAAGGCCUUCGGGUUGUAAAGCACUUUCAGCGAGGAAGAAGGCCUGAGGGCUAAUACCCUUCAGGAAGGACAUCACUCGCAGAAGAAGCACCGGCUAACUCCGUGCCAGCAGCCGCGGUAAUACGGAGGGUGCGAGCGUUAAUCGGAAUUACUGGGCGUAAAGAAGCCGGUUGUGAAAGCCCCGGGCUCAACCUGGGAACGGCAUCCGGAACUGUCAGGCUAGAGUGCAGGAGAGGAAGGUAGAAUUCCCGGUGUAGCGGUGAAAUGCGUAGAGAUCGGGAGGAAUACCAGUGGCGAAGGCGGCCUUCUGGACUGACACUGACACUGAGGUGCGAAAGCGUGGGUAGCAAACAGGAUUAGAUACCCUGGUAGUCCACGCCGUAAACGAUGUCGACUAGCCGUUGGGUUCCUUGAGAACUUUGUGGCGCAGUUAACGCGAUAAGUCGACCGCCUGGGGAGUACGGCCGCAAGGUUAAAACUCAAAUGAAUUGACGGGGGCCCGCACAAGCGGUGGAGCAUGUGGUUUAAUUCGAUGCAACGCGAAGAACCUUACCUACGCUUGACAUCGUGCGAACUUGGUAGAGAUACCUUGGUGCCUUCGGGAACGCACAGACAGGUGCUGCAUGGCUGUCGUCAGCUCGUGUUGUGAAAUGUUGGGUUAAGUCCCGUAACGAGCGCAACCCU
rnacentral:rRNA from 1 species